AGCGUUGGUUCAAUUAAUGGCUUUGAUUGAGUGCUCCUUGUGAGCUGCAGAGCACUGCUUUAAGCAGUUGGAAAAGUUCAAUACAACAGUGAACAGACACAUUCCCUAUCUGCAACAAGCAUGCACUCUACAGCCUCCUCUUUGCUGAACACUUUUAAUGAUCUGCUGCCCGAGUCAGGCCACGCUUCUUCUUCCGCACUGCUAAGGACCAUAGUCCAAACCUGCUUGCUUUAGUCUUUGUGGAGCACUUCCAGUGAACUGUUCCCUGAAUCAGAAACUUCUAUGGAUCCACUACCAGAAGAAUUGCAGAUGGAGUUGGCAUUCUGGGAGAGAUGUGUCCAUGGCGUCUCUAUGGGUCUUAGGAGACUUGACAGUGAAAGACGACACCAGUGCUUAGAACAGAGUUUGACAUAUGUUUUGCCAUACAUUGGAUCGUAACUGGACACCAAGUUGUGACACGCACGAUGCGUGACAAAAACUGUCCCUUGCCAGGGCUGAAGUGUUUGCUGCAAAUGCCAAAGGAAACAAGCUUGGAUCCAUUUGCCUUCUGGAAAGAAUUUUUUACUAAAAAUUUUUUGUAAGAAAAAAAGCAACAGGAUUUUUUUUCUGAGAAAUUAUUAAAGCUUGGCGUUGGAAAUAUA